rnacentral:lncRNA from 1 species
AAUCCCAUCAUACCUUGGAUUUUGGUGCUAUCAGUCUGAAAAGCAGACGUACCUGUCUGGUACUCUAGAGGGAAUGUCCUUUCCUGAAUGAAAAAGCUGGGCCAUUUGGGGAUUUGGAGAAUAAAG